rnacentral:rRNA from 1 species
GACGAACGCUGGCGGCGGGCUUAACACAUGCAAGUCGAACGAGAAGCCAGAGCUUGCUCUGGUGGAAAGUGGCGCACGGGUGAGUAACACGUAGGCAAUCUGCCCUCAGGUGGGGAAUAACCGCGGGAAACCGUGGCUAAUACCACAUAAAGUCGUAGGUCCGCAUGGACCCUCGAUCAAAGGCUUCGGCCGUCUGGGGAUGAGCCUGCGUCGGAUUAGCUAGUUGGUGGGGUAACGGCCCACCAAGGCGACGAUCCGUAGCGGGUCUGAGAGGAUGAUCCGCCACACUGGCACUGAGACACGGGCCAGACUCCUACGGGAGGCAGCAGUGAGGAAUAUUGCGCAAUGGAGGAAACUCUGACGCAGCCACGCCGCGUGCAGGAAGACACCCCUCAGGGGCGUAAACUGCUUUUAUACGGGAAGAACACCCAUCCUCGGAUGGGUCUGACGGUACCGUACGAAUAAGGACCGGCUAACUCCGUGCCAGCAGCCGCGGUAAUACGGAGGGUCCAAGCGUUGUCCGGAAUCACUGGGUGUAAAGGGUGCGCAGGCGGGCGUGUAAGUCAGGGGUGAAAGCCACCGGCCUAACCGGUGAACCGCCCUUGAUACUGCACGUCUUGAGUCCCGGAGAGGCUAUCGGAAUUCGUGGUGUAGCGGUGAAAUGCGUAAAUAUCACGAGGAACACCAGAAGUGUAGACGGAUAGCUGGACGGGUACUGACGCUCAGGCACGAAAGCGUGGGUAGCAAACAGG